rnacentral:tRNA from 1 species
GGGGAUGUAGCUCAAUUGUAGAGCUUUCACCUAGCACAGCCAGGGUCCUGGGUUCAAGGCCCAGCACCACCA